GACGAACGCUGGCGGCGUGCUUAACACAUGCAAGUCGAACGGAAAGGCCCUGCUUUUGUGGGGUGCUCGAGUGGCGAACGGGUGAGUAACACGUGAGUAACCUGCCCUUGACUUUGGGAUAACUUCAGGAAACUGGGGCUAAUACUGGAUAGGAGCUCCUGCUGCAUGGUGGGGGUUGGAAAGUUUCGGCGGUUGGGGAUGGACUCGCGGCUUAUCAGCUGGUUGGUGGGGUAGUGGCUUACCAAGGCUUUGACGGGUAGCCGGCCUGAGAGGGUGACCGGCAACAUUGGGACUGAGAUACGGCCCAGACUCCUACGGGAGGCAGCAGUGGGGAAUAUUGCACAAUGGGCGGAAGCCUGAUGCAGCAACGCCGCGUGCGGGAUGACGGCCUUCGGGUUGUAAACCGCUUUCGCCUGUGACGAAGCGUGAGUGACGGUAAUGGGUAAAGAAGCACCGGCUAACUACGUG
rnacentral:rRNA from 1 species